rnacentral:pre_miRNA from 1 species
GAGACACCCUUCUGGGGCAAGACUUGCUUCAGUGUGGCUUUGGUGCUCACUGAGUCUGCCCCAUGAGUGUGUCCCU